AAUGAACGCUGGCGGCAGGCCUAACACAUGCAAGUCGAACGAGUGGCAGACGGGUGAGUAAUGUCUGGGAAACUGCCUGAUGGAGGGGGAUAACUACUGGAAACGGUAGCUAAUACCGAAUACCAUCAGAUGUGCCCAGAUGGGCGUAUCUUGUUGGUGGGGUAACGGCUCAGCAAGGCGACGAUCCCUAGCUGGUCUGAGAGGAUGACCAGCCGCACUGGAACUAUGACACGGACUAGAACCCGACGCGACGUAGUAGUGGGGAAUAUUGCACAAUGGGCUAAAGCCUGAUGCAGCCACGCCGCGUGUAUGACGAAGGCUUUCGGGUUGUAAAGUACUUCCCGCGGGGAGGCGUUACCCGCAGAAGAAGCACCGGCUAACUCCGUGCCAGCAGCCGCGGUAAUAC
rnacentral:rRNA from 1 species